rnacentral:rRNA from 1 species
UACAGAGGUCCCAAGCGUUGUUCGGAUUCAUUGGGCGUAAAGGGUGUGUAGGUGGCGCCGUAAGUCGGGUGUGAAAUCUCGGGGCUUAACUCCGAAACUGCAUUCGAUACUGCGGUGCUUGAGGACUGGAGAGGAGACUGGAAUUCAUGGUGUAGCAGUGAAAUGCGUAGAGAUCGUAAGGAAGACCAGUGGCGAAGGCGGGUCUCUGGACAGUUCCUGACACUGAGGCACGAAGGCCAGGGGAGCAAACGGG